rnacentral:rRNA from 1 species
CCCUGCAGUUUUUGUCUGGUUUCACACUUAAGCUAAUCAGGGUUGAACCUGGCCAGUACCUGAAUGGGAGAUCCCCUGGGGAAAUAUAAGGUUGCUGCUGGAA